rnacentral:rRNA from 1 species
AACGAACGCUGGCGGCAUGCCUAACACAUGCAAGUCGAACGAGACCUUCGGGUCUAGUGGCGCACGGGUGCGUAACGCGUGGGAACCUGCCCUUAGGUUCGGAAUAACUCCCCGAAAGGGGUGCUAAUACCGGAUAAUGUCUUCGGACCAAAGAUUUAUCGCCCUUGGAUGGGCCCGCGUUGGAUUAGCUAGUUGGUAGGGUAAAAGCCUACCAAGGCGACGAUCCAUAGCUGGUCUGAGAGGAUGAUCAGCCACACUGGGACUGAGACACGGCCCAGACUCCUACGGGAGGCAGCAGUGGGGAAUAUUGGACAAUGGGCGAAAGCCUGAUCCAGCAAUGCCGCGUGAGUGAUGAAGGCCUUAGGGUUGUAAAGCGCUUUUACCCGGGAUGAUAAUGACAGUACCGGGAGAAUAAGCUCCGGCUAACUCCGUG